ACAGAGGUGGCAAGCGUUGUUCGGAAUUACUGGGCGUAAAGGGCGCGUAGGCGGCCUUCUAAGUCGGACGUGAAAGCCCCAGGCUUAACCUGGGAACUGCGUCCGAUACUGGGAGGCUUGGAUUCGGGAGAGGGAUGUGGAAUUCCAGGUGUAGCGGUGAAAUGCGUAGAUAUCUGGAGGAACACCGGUGGCGAAGGCAGCCCCCUGGGUCAAAACUGACGCUCAUGUACGAAAGCGUGGGGAGCAAACAGGA
rnacentral:rRNA from 1 species